rnacentral:rRNA from 1 species
AUACGUAGGUGACAAGCGUUAUCCGGAUUUACUGGGCGUAAAGGGCGUGUAGGCGGUCUUGCAAGUCAGAAGUGAAAUUCCUGAGCUCAACUCGGGCGCUGCUUCUGAAACUGCAGGACUUGAGUGCUGGAGGGGAUAGCGGAAUUCCUAGUGGAGCGGUAAAAUGCGCAGAUAUUAGGAAGAACACCGGUGGCGAAGGCGGCUAUCUGGACAGUAACUGACGCUGAGGCGCGAAAGCGUGGGGAGCAAACAGGAUUAGAUACCCUGGUAGUCCACGCAGUAAACGAUGAUGGCUAACCGCUGGAUCCAUCGGUUCAGUGGCCAAGCGAAAGCGAUAAGCCAUCCACCUGGGGAGUACGACCGCAAGGUUGAAACUCAAAUGAAUUGACGGGG